CGCGCAGGCGGUCUUGUCCGUCAGGUGUGAAAGCCCGGGGCUCAACCCCGGAAGUGCACUUGAAACAGCAAGACUUGAAUACGGGAGAGGAGAGAGGAAUUCCUGGUGUAGAGGUGAAAUUCGUAGAUAUCAGGAGGAACACCGAUGGCGAAGGCAUCUCUCUGGACCGAUAUUGACGCUGAGGCGCGAAGGCGUGGAUAGCGAACAGGAUUAGAUACCCUGGUAGUCC
rnacentral:rRNA from 1 species